rnacentral:rRNA from 1 species
CUUGCACCUGGUGGCGAGUGGCGAACGGGUGAGUAAUACAUCGGAACGUACCUUAUCGUGGGGGAUAACGCAGCGAAAGCUGUGCUAAUACCGCAUACGCCCUGAGGGGGAAAGCGGGGAAUCGAAAGACCUCGCGCGAUUAGAGCGGCCGAUGCCUGAUUAGCUUGUUGGUGGGGUAAAAGCCCACCAAGGCGACGAUCAGUAGCUGGUCUGAGAGGACGAUCAGCCACACUGGGACUGAGACACGGCCCAGACUCCUACGGGAGGCAGCAGUGGGGAAUUUUGGACAAUGGGGGAAACCCUGAUCCAGCAAUGCCGCGUGAGUGAAGAAGGCCUUCGGGUUGUAAAGCUCUUUUGUCAGGGAAGAAACACCGGCUCUAACACAGUCCGGGAAUGACGGUACCUGAAGAGUAAGCACCGGCUAACUACGUGCCAGCAGCCGCGGUAAUACGUAGGGUGCGAGCGUUAAUCGGAAUUACUGGGCGUAAAGCGUGCGCAGGCGGUUAUACAAGACAGGCGUGAAAUCCCCGGGCUUAACCUGGGAAUGGCGCCUGUGACUGUAUAGCUAGAGUGUGUCAGAGGGGGGUAGAAUUCCACGUGUAGCAGUGAAAUGCGUAGAUAUGUGGAGGAAUACCAAUGGCGAAGGCAGCCCCCUGGGAUAACACUGACGCUCAUGCACGAAAGCGUGGGGAGCAAACAG